rnacentral:rRNA from 1 species
UACGAAGGGUGCAAGCGUUACUCGGAAUUACUGGGCGUAAAGCGUGCGUAGGUGGUUUGUUAAGUCUGCUGUGAAAGCCCCGGGCUCAACCUGGGAAUGGCAGUGGAUACUGGCAAGCUAGAGUGCGGUAGAGGGGUGUGGAAUUCCCGGUGUAGCGGUGAAAUGCGUAGAGAUCGGGAAGAACACCCGUGGCGAAGGCGGUUCUCUGGGACGGUACUGACGCUGAGACGCGAAAGCGUGGGGAGCGAACAGG